rnacentral:lncRNA from 1 species
AAAGUAAUAGACAAACCAAAAUAAAAACACUCAAAAGCGUGACACCAUAAUCAAUAUUCGCAAAACCCAUAAUUGCUUAAACCCUUAUUCUCUAUUCGUUCUCCACCGCGGCCGAGCCGUGUUGCGAUACAGUGUAAGCACGACGAAGGUUCAUCGAACUUUUCGAUUAUGAGCGUCGUUUAUCUCAGAUUAAAAUUAUUUUCGGUAAAAUCCCAAAAUCGUUGAAUCAGAGCAAAAUCACGCCGGAGAAAAAUUGGAGCUAAAUUACGCUGGAUAGAAAUCGGAGCAUGUUGAAUUUACACCGGAGUGAAUUACGAUGAAUCACCACACAAUUUUCGUUUCCACUUUGUUCUCUUCUUCUUCGGUUCUUUGGAACUGAAUGACGCUGAAGAUUUCAUCACUGUAAGUGAAAAUCUCUCUCUCUCUCUCCAUUUUGUUCUUCCUUGAGAUUAAAUCGUUGCUAAGAGUUUUCUAUGUUGAAAAUCAUAAAGUCUGAUAUAGGAUUUGUGUUCGUUUUCGAUUUUCAUUCUGUUAUCUAAUUGCGUGUUGAUGAUUUUAGUUGCUGAAAUUUUUCUGUGAUUGGUGUUUGAUUAAGUGAUUUUUGCAAAUGUGGUUUCUAAUAUUAGUAAAGGUUAAUUAAGAAAUUAGGGUUAAGUGUUCUGGUUGAAUUGCUUUGACUUGAAAUAUAGCCUAAAUAAUUUUGAAUUUUGGAUUCAAAUGAUGAAUUGCACAUGGAUGCAUAUUAUGAAUUUUUUAAGUAAUGAUGUCUAUGUCUAUUAUGCUUUUGUGACCUCUUGUUAUAUUACAUGCUUUGGUGAUAGUUUCUGAACAGAGAUUAGGAAGUUGUAGUUUAUAGAAGUAGGCCUUUGUUUUGUUUAGGAUUAGGUGAUCUGUGAUAUGAUUUGGUUAAUCUAAGACUAGUUUCAAGAAUGAACCUAUGAAAAUUUUCCAUGCAAUAAUUAGUGAGACCUGGUUUUUAAAUUUAUGGAGAAGGUAUGGUUUAAAUGCAAAAAACAGAUGUUUAAUACUUGUAUAUGUGUGUUUAUCUGUUGUAAGGUGACUGCAAAGUGCAAACUAUUAAAGUUGAGCUCAUUGAGAGAACUGACAUGUUGAUUUGGCUAUAACUGACAAACUGUGUUACUUUGANNNNNNNNNNNNNNNNNNNNNNNNNNNNNNNNNNNNNNNNNNNNNCUUAUUGGCAGGUUUCUACUUCUCGAUAUUCCUACAUAAUUGCCAAACAUGCAAGUUUGUCGUAAGAUGUCACGAUCACUACAAAGAUUUCCUCAAGAUAUAAUCAUUGAUAGUUGCCUCACAAUGCUGCAUUGUCCGCUCUAGAAUUUUUUGAUAGGUAUUAAUUUCACUUUGAUUUAUUGGUCAAUUACAUUAAUUUUCAUAACUGAAGAAAAAUAUGAAUAAGAUAAAUGACAAUGAUAAAGAUGAAUAUUUCAUUGUUCAUAUGCUUUGAUGUGGAUAGAAUUAGAAGAGCUAGUAAUUGACUAUUAAUUGAAAAUAUACAAAAUACUUAAAGUAGUAAACUGAUCCUACUGAUCUAUAAGCUAAGACUUACUAGAAUUAUUCAUUUGUGUAUGGUGGCAUGGUUUGUCUCUUAUUUGUCUGAGUUGCGUUAGUUACUUAUGUAGUUUCAUUGGGAUUGUGUAGGCAGCGGUGAGUGCUUCGGCAACUAGUUACUUAUGUUCUUUUCUCGUUUCUUCUCCUAUUUAUUCAAUGGCUUUUGAUUCCCCUUUACUUGUUUCUUUUAGUUUGGUUGCAAAAUAUACUAAACUGAUGUGUUAAUGUUGUGCAGCGUUUGUGUGCUACAGGAUUAUUUUAUAAGCUAUGAAGUUUUGGACAAACUUAUAAGCUAUGAGGUUUGGCACAUCUCUCAUUCUCUUCAUUCUCAAACAUAGAAAAUCCACACAAAGGUUCAAGUUAUUGAUAUCCAUCUAGUCUAAGGUAAACUCAAAUACCCCUCUUAUGUCCAAUAACUUAUAAAAGUUAGGUUUGAUAAUAAUGUCUAUAUAGUGUACAAUUUGAUAUGUUAUGUUAUCUAUGACUACCGGUGAGUUUGUCUUACCACCACAAUAGAUGUAAAAUAUUGUAGCUACUGGAAAUGGUUUCAUCUUACUCUUAUUCUUUUCCUUCAUUUUCUUUAUUCAUACAGUAUUUCAGCAAUAAUAAAGAUUGGUAAUGGAAUGAAGGACCAUACUAUAUAGUCCUCUGACUAUUUAAAUUACUCUUCAUAAAUGUAGUUUAUUUUCUUCAUACAAUUCCAACCUUUUUUAUGUUUAAUUUUUGCAGAGUGUACAGGUUGAUACAGAGACAUAUACUUGCAACUGUUUGUUUUGGAUAAAUAUGAUACUUUCAGUUUGGUAUCAAGUUAAUGCACAAUUAGGCUUCACAAUGAUUCACGUAAAUGUGUUUAAAUGUAUUUAAAUUAGGCUUCAUUUGAGGCUCAAGUCGGGUUUUGAAAUUAGAAAAGCUUACUGUCAAGUUUUCAGUAAUGAAUUGAGGAACAUAGAUUCAUUUUUGNNNNNNNNNNNNGUGGAAGGGGAAUAUCCAAAUACAUGUCUUAUUUUUUUUUUAAUAAUGCAUAUUUGUAGCAAUGAAAUACUAUAUCCUCCUCCCCAAAAUGAUUGAUUACAAAUAGCUAUGAUUCCUAAUUCUCUAUAAA